GGGUUGCCUCCCAAGAAGCGCUUAUUUAAGGUCAUUAGCUUGACCCCCUCAAAUAUGCUAAUCAAAAAGCGGCUUCCUUCCAUAAUAAUUAUCAUAUAAUAUGACAUAUGGGUCUUGAUGUAAAGUGCCCUCAAGAUUGGCCAGAUUUGAAGCAAAUUUGCAUGUAGCAUGAACAGCACUUGGAGUUGAAUCACAUGCUUGGGUUGAAGAA
rnacentral:misc_RNA from 1 species